rnacentral:rRNA from 1 species
UCAGAUUGAACGCUGGCGGCAGGCCUAACACAUGCAAGUCGAGCGGUAGCACAGAGAGCUUGCUCUCGGGUGACGAGCGGCGGACGGGUGAGUAAUGUCUGGGAAACUGCCUGAUGGAGGGGGAUAACUACUGGAAACGGUAGCUAAUACCGCAUAAUGUCGCAAGACCAAAGUGGGGGACCUUCGGGCCUCAUGCCAUCAGAUGUGCCCAGAUGGGAUUAGCUAGUAGGUGGGGUAACGGCUCACCUAGGCGACGAUCCCUAGCUGGUCUGAGAGGAUGACCAGCCACACUGGAACUGAGACACGGUCCAGACUCCUACGGGAGGCAGCAGUGGGGAAUAUUGCACAAUGGGCGCAAGCCUGAUGCAGCCAUGCCGCGUGUGUGAAGAAGGCCUUCGGGUUGUAAAGCACUUUCAGCGGGGAGGAAGGCGGUAAGGUUAAUAACCUCAUCGAUUGACGUUACCCGCAGAAGAAGCACCGGCUAACUCCGUGCCAGCAGCCGCGGUAAUACGGAGGGUGCAAGCGUUAAUCGGAAUUACUGGGCGUAAAGCGCACGCAGGCGGUCUGUCAAGUCGGAUGUGAAAUCCCCGGGCUCAACCUGGGAACUGCAUUCGAAACUGGCAGGCUAGAGUCUUGUAGAGGGGGGUAGAAUUCCAGGUGUAGCGGUGAAAUGCGUAGAGAUCUGGAGGAAUACCGGUGGCGAAGGCGGCCCCCUGGACAAAGACUGACGCUCAGGUGCGAAAGCGUGGGGAGCAAACAGGAUUAGAUACCCUGGUAGUCCACGCCGUAAACGAUGUCGAUUUGGAGGUUGUGCCCUUGAGGCGUGGCUUCCGGAGCUAACGCGUUAAAUCGACCGCCUGGGGAGUACGGCCGCAAGGUUAAAACUCAAAUGAAUUGACGGGGGCCCGCACAAGCGGUGGAGCAUGUGGUUUAAUUCGAUGCAACGCGAAGAACCUUACCUGGUCUUGACAUCCACAGAACUUUCCAGAGAUGGAUUGGUGCCUUCGGGAACUGUGAGACAGGUGCUGCAUGGCUGUCGUCAGCUCGUGUUGUGAAAUGUUGGGUUAAGUCCCGCAACGAGCGCAACCCUUAUCCUUUGUUGCCAGCGGUCCGGCCGGGAACUCAAAGGAGACUGCCAGUGAUAAACUGGAGGAAGGUGGGGAUGACGUCAAGUCAUCAUGGCCCUUACGACCAGGGCUACACACGUGCUACAAUGGCAUAUACAAAGAGAAGCGACCUCGCGAGAGCAAGCGGACCUCAUAAAGUAUGUCGUAGUCCGGAUUGGAGUCUGCAACUCGACUCCAUGAAGUCGGAAUCGCUAGUAAUCGUAGAUCAGAAUGCUACGGUGAAUACGUUCCCGGGCCUUGUACACACCGCCCGUCACACCAUGGGAGUGGGUUGCAAAAGAAGUAGGUAGCUUAACCUUCGGGAGGGCGCUUACCACUUUGUGAUUCAUGACUGGGGUGAAGUCGUAACAAGGUAACCG